GAUUCAUAUACUGUCUGUGAUUUCCUUUCUUCACCUCCUCCUCUCGGCUGGGCUGUGUGGUAGGUGAGCCAACCAGAGCCAACCUGUCAACCAGUCCCAAGAGUGACCAUCAGCGAGUAAACAGAGAUCACAAGCAAAAGCAUGGCACGCAAACUUUUUGUAGUCAUCGUGCUCUUUCUCCUGGUGGGGAGUCUGACUGCGCAGACACCAGAUGAGGAUGGCAUCAUCCUGUCUGAACUGUACAACACCCCAGCAGAGGAUCUGCAAGAUGCUGUGGCGCCCGUGCGUGCCAAGCGUUUCUUUCUUGGCCAUCUCUUUAGGUUGGGAACUCGUAUAGCAGGCAAGAUCUUGCGUCAUUAUCCUCACCAGGACCAUGAAUAGGGAGCACUGCAACAGUAUCCCCCCUCACAUGUGCACCGCCACACCUGUGAGCCGACAGUGAAGCAUCGAGGCAUCUCAACUCCACUCGUUCAGAGUGAGAAUCUGUGAAAUCAUCACAAUGCCGCCGAAACUCUCCUGUUUGUGAAGAAAUAAAGAAAUUCUGCAGCAUUUACCUCUCUGUGCU
rnacentral:lncRNA from 1 species